rnacentral:rRNA from 1 species
UACGUAGGUGGCGAGCGUUGUCCGGAUUUACUGGGCGUAAAGCGCGCGCAGGCGGCAGUCUAAGUCCUCUGUGAAAUCACCCGGCUCAACUGGGUGGCUGCGGAGGAGACUGGGCAGCUUGAGGGGCCUAGAGGCCGGUGGAACUCCCGGUGUAGUGGUGAAAUGCGUAGAGAUCGGGAAGAACACCAGUGGCGAAGGCGGCCGGCUGGUGGCGCCCUGACGCUGAGGCGCGAGAGCGUGGGGAGCAAACCGG